ensembl:lncRNA
AUGUGUAAAAAGAUUGAUCAACAAUUAUGUAACUUUGUAUGGAAAAAUAAGACGCAUUACAUCAAAAAAUCUGUUCUAUCUAACAGCUACAGUAACGGAGGUCUUAAUUUGGUUGAUUUUUCAACGUUAAAUAAUACCUUUAAAAUCAACUGGUUGAGGAACUACUUGAAAAAUCCAUUCAGUAUUUGGAAUAUUAUACCAGAGUAUAUAUUUUCACAGUUGGGAGGUUUGAAUUUUCUAUUAUUAUGUAACUACAGUAUUGAGAAGAUCCCUGUUGCUCUUUCUAAUUUCCACAAACAAGCACUUUUGGCAUGGUCUAUGAUUUUCAAACACAAUUUUUCUCCAACUAGUUACUUCAUUUGGAAUAAUAAGAAUAUCUGUUAUAAACAUAAGUCCCUAUUUUUUGAAAACUGGUUUAAGAAUGGUAUCAAUCGGGUUAGUCAAUUAUUUCAUAAGAGUGGUUACUUGUUUACUUAUCAAGAAUUUCUUUCUCACUAUAAGUUUCCUGUUACUCCAAAACAGUUUGCCACUGUAUUUGGUGCUAUCCCGAAUGGUGUAAUCAUGUUAUUUAAGGGCUAUAACAGUGCUUUGACAAGUUCUGAAAUGCCUCUCCCAGACCCAGUUGACACGUAUGUAGGUGGGAUAUGUUUUAAAUCUACACUGAAAAAUAACAGAAAUAUUCGCUUUCUUUUUCUUAAUGACUGUGUUUCCACUCCUCACGCUAUUUCAAAAUGGAAUAGAUCAGUGAAAAAUAUUUUGUGGAAAAAGGUUUGGACGCUUCCUAACAAGUAUUUAUUGGUAAAUAAGGUUAAAGAGAUUUCUUUUAAGCUCAUUCAUCAGUACUAUCCUGUUAAAACAUUUAUUGUGUCGAAAUUCAAAUUAAACAUAGAUGUGAACUGUACUUUCUGUGACUCACAACCAGAGACUGUCCUGCAUCUUUUUUGGCAAUGUGUUUACAUAAGAAAACUUUGGCAAGAUAUCUGCCAAUUCAUUGUAAACUUCAUACACAAUGACUUUGAGCUUUUCUUUAAGGAUGUUUUGUUGGGAAUUUUCACUUUUGAGAAGCAAUAUGGAAAUGUUUACUUUCUCUGCAACUUAAUUAUUUUGCUUGCAAAAUAUUUUAUCCACAAAUGUAAGGUUAUGAAAGUCACGCCCCACUUCUCUUACUUUCUAGAAGAUAUUAAAAUUUAUAUAAAAUCUUUAUCUACCUCCUGUAACAAAAAGGCAACUAAAACUUUGAAUGUAUGCUCACUUUUUGGUGUUUUUGUAUAA